rnacentral:rRNA from 1 species
ACGGGUGAGUAACACGUGGAUAAUCUGCCCUUUAGUGGGGAAUACCGCUGGGAAACCGGCGACAAUACCGCAUAAGCUCGAGAGAGGAAAGCAGCAAUGCGCUGAAGGAGGAGUCCGCGGUCGAUUAGCUAGUUGGUGGGGUAAUGGCCUACCAAGGCUGUGAUCGAUAGCCGGCCUGAGAGGGCACACGGCCACACUGGCACUGAAACACGGGCCAGACUCCUACGGGAGGCAGCAGUGGGGAAUCUUGCACAAUGGGGGCAACCCUGAUCCAGCAAUGCCGCGUGAGUGAUGAAGGCCUUAGGGUUGUAAAGCUCUUUCGCCCGCGACGAUGAUGACGGUAGCGGGAGAAGAAGCCCCGGCUAACUUCGUGCCAGCAGCCGCGG